ACAGCCCUGACCCCCAGGAUAAGUAAUCAAAGAGCAGAAGGAAAAGACAUGGAGGAGGCAGAGACACGAGAGCCCUGGGAGAGUCCAUGAAAAGGGAGCUUCUGGAACUGAGAACCAAACUAUCCAAACAGGAGAGUCUCCUUCAGAGCACAGCUGAGCAUCUGAAGACCGCCAACCAGCAGAAGGAGAGCAUGGAACAGUUUAUAUUCAGCCAGUUGACCAGGACACACGAUGUUUUGAAGAAGGCAAGGACGAAUUUGGAGGUAAGGAAACUACUGCACCAGUCGGAGCCAUAGAGCCCGCCCCAAACUUAUCACCAUCUGUCAUCAGAGUGUGCAGGUGAUCCUUGACCUGCUCUGACCUUCCAGGAGCAGAUGUCUGGUCCAUCUGUGGGAGCUCGGGUCCUCAUGGGCAUCCCUCUAGAUUCCAUCCUCAUCAGCCCUCCACCCCAAUCAGCAACCUCCCUGACCUCUCGGUUGACCCUUACUUUGUCAUUAUCUUCCCUCCUUAUUCCAAUUCUGUCUCCUUUAUGCCAGGUCAGGAGUGAGGAGAAAUGCAGUUCAGUUGAUUCUCGAGGUCAGAGGACAUAUGGGGUCUGCCUCUGAAGCAGCUUUCAGUAGAGGGAUCCUGAGGCCUGUCUUGUGUUCUGGGGUUUCCUAUACCACCUUAUGAAAAAAUAAC